CAGCAAGGCAAUUUUACUUCUAUACAAGAGUGCGUCUCAUGGAUGGUGCAAUGGCGAGAGCACACCGGAACAAGGGAGGGGAAUGGGUUCUUAUCCCUGAUGCAGGUACCCCCUACUGCUGUGUUGUUCCCCUAUGGGCUAGGGUUGGACCGCACAAUCUAAGCUAAUUCUGACUGGCUAUUUUAAAGAGAGCAGGGGUAUAAGCCAGAGUGGUGGGGUGAGAAGUUUAGACAGGAAAGAUGGUUACGGACCAGGUGACUAAAGGUGACUCAGGUCAGAGCAGGUGACAGAGGCUAGGAGGGGAUUGUUUACUGAAACUAGGGGCAAGGAGACAUAAAGAAUGAGGAAAUUAAAAGUUAAAAUGAAGAACAAAGAACAGGUGAGCUGAACAUACUGAUACAUUGGUUCUUUGGAGAGGAUCUCAGAACUCAAUGUACUUAACAAAUUACAGGCUAAAACCUUUGAAGAAGAAUUUAUGAUAUCCUACAUUAUCAUGGGGUAAACAAUUCGUCCCUGACAGAAUAAGGCUACUGGAGUUCUCUUCUUGUAACUCUGGGAAGGACUAGAGGGAACUGUGUCUGCAGUGGGGCCAGGUAGUUAAAAAGUCUGGACUGGGCCGAGCGUGGUGGCUCAUGCCUGUAAUCCCAACACUUUAGGAGGCCAAGACAGGUGGAUCACCUGAGUGGAUACAUGAAGAGUUAGUAAGAACCAGUGAAAAAGCAAUCACUUAUGAUCCUGGGCUUUGAAAAAUCACUGUGAUUAUCUUAUGCACUUACAAAUGAGACUAAGACGCCUGAUGGGAAAGUGCAGAUUGCUGGUGAGGAAGGGCAAUGAAGAAGAGACUAGGAACCAAAUUCAUCAUCAUUAUCACACAAAGGCAUUUGGAAAUGUCACCUUACACAUGGUGAGCACAUAUGGGUGCCAGCCCGAGACAGCAGGAUAAGUUUCACAAAACUUGACCAGGCAGGUUAGAAGCAAGGCAUGGUUCAGGAUGGCAGAGGGCAGGGAGACAGAAGGGAGUAGGAUGGGAGAGAAGAGCCAGCUGGAAGAUGAGUCAGGGGGUGCAACUGGGGAGAGCAGCUCUGAAUCCUGCUUCUCAGUGAGAAAGUUGCUAAGAUGGCUUUGCAGGGAGCUGUCCUAUCGCUGCUCGAGAUCAGCCUGCUGGGCCUAUGAUGAUAAGCAGGGCUGACCCUCUUGGGCUCUGUAGCUAAG
rnacentral:lncRNA from 10 species